AUUGAACGCUGGCGGCAGGCCUAACACAUGCAAGUCGAGCGGAGCGGAGGACGGGUGAGUAAAGCCUAGGAAUCUGCCUGGUAGUGGGGGAUAACGUCCGGAAACGGGCGCUAAUCCCGAAUACUAUAAGAUGAGGCUAGGUCGGAUGAGCUAGUUGGAGGGGGAAAGGCCUAACAAGGGGACGAUCCGUAACUGGUCUGAGAGGAGGAUCAGUCACACUGGAACUGAGACACUGUCCAGACUCCUACGGGAGGCAGCAGUGGGGAAUAUUGGACAAUGGGCGAAAGCCUGAUCCAGCCAUGCCGCGUGUGUGAAGAAGGUCUUCGGAUUGUAAAGCACUUUAAGUUGGGAGGCGUUACCAACAGAAGAAGCACCGGCUAACUUCGUGCCAGCAGCCGCGGUAAUAC
rnacentral:rRNA from 1 species